CAACGGACAACAGAUGAAAGGCUACGCAGGAGGAAGUAGACCUAUUAAAGGAUAUGGACGACCAUUUUAUGGCUCAGGUCCAGGUGUGACAACGGGAGGCUACGCAGGUAUGGGAGCACCUCAGCCAAGGAACCAAGGAUACAAUGGUGGUUACGGCAGCGCUGGUUUGGGUCUGGGAGCUCGCUUUGGAAAUGGAGGAAUGAAAGGACCAAAGCUUGGUUACGGGAAUAUUCCAAAUGGGUAUGGCGCCAGAUCCAACGGUGAGAUUUUUUUUUU
ensembl:lncRNA